UACGUAGGGCGCAAGCGUUGUCCGGAAUUAUUGGGCGUAAAGAGCUCGUAGGCGGUCUGUCACGUCGGAAGUGAAAACCCGGGGCUUAACCCCGGGCUGCUUUCGAUACGGGCAGACUAGAGUGUGGUAGGGGAGGACUGGAAUUCCUGGUGUAGCGGUGAAAUGCGCAGAUAUCAGGAGGAACACCGAUGGCGAAGGCAGGUCUCUGGGCCACUACUGACGCUGAGAAGCGAAAGCAUGGGGGAGCGAACAGG
rnacentral:rRNA from 1 species